ensembl:snoRNA
CAUCCCAUUGAUUUGCUGCUCUGGUUUUUCAGUUAUAUCAGCAGUUAUACACAUGGGAAAGAACAAGUUUAGGCCAUUAUAAAUGGAGAUGGAGUAACCAUUUCAUCUAUUCCGCAUAGUCCAGACAUUG